rnacentral:lncRNA from 1 species
GCAAGGGUGCUCUGCAGCCCAGCUUUAGAAGGAGCGCCUGACACAGCCUGGGGGCAAGGAAGAAAAGCCUUCUUGGAGGAAGUGGCAGGGGCAGGUGCUGUGAUAGAUACUGAGGAUGCCAAAGUGAAGACCUCUGUUCCUGCCACCACCUGUAGUCACUCUAAUUGGAAGCAGUGUGAACACACCCUGAGGAAGCCCAGAGGAGGGAAGGAAUGACUCUGCCUGGGUAGGAAGGCUUUCCAGAGGGGGCAACAAUCGAACUGGACCUUCAAAGUUUCAUAGAAUGUCCCUGGCCACUUUCAGGACAGGAAAAGUGUUCUCAGACAACCUCUGGAGGUAUCCAGCACACGGGGAAUCUCUCCAGUGACCCCAUAGCACAUCCCUGGAGCUUCAGCUCAAGAGUUGAGGAAACUGAGAAAUGUCAAAGCUGAGUGAGGACUUGUCCGUGGUCACAUGGCAGCAUUUGAACCCGGGUCCAGUUUACCAUCUUCCAACUCAAGUGCUUGUUCCACUCCUCCAAGCUGCCAGUUUGGCUACUAUAAGGGAAGACAACCCGAGGUAGCAGCUGCACAUGGAAAAGAUGAAAAUGAGAGAAAUGAAGAGUGACGUGGACAGAACUCAAUGAAACCUCUGGAUCAAACCAUGCCUGAAGUCCUGCAUUACUUCUGGAGUUUUCCAUUUCAUUAACCCAUAACUUUACUAUUGCUUAAGGCAAUUUGUGUUUGGUUUUCUGAAUUGCGACUAAAAUCAUCCCAACUAAUAUAUGUUGCUUAUAAUCUUCAUAAACUUUAUUUCUAAAAGCUGCAUAUUAUUUUAUCUUAAUGAUAUAUUUUGUUUAACUACUCUCCUUGUAUUUAGUAUUUAGGUUUAAUAUUGAACUAUUAUUAUUGUCUGUGAUAAACCUGGUAAUGAAAACUUUUUCUGAAUUGCCAAUUCUUUUCUUAGAGUUGAUUCCCAGAAGUGGAAUUACUGGGUUUAUAAUAUUCUUAAGGCUUUUGACAUAUAUUUCCAAUUUGCUUUUUUAAAACAUCACCAGAAAAUAAUGAGGAUGUCUGUUGUGCCCUAUCUUUGUUACCAUUUUUAAUCUUUGCUGUUUUUAGGAUGAAUCAUAUUUCAUUGUUAAGUUUGAUUUUCUUCAAUUACCAAUGAGAGUGAACAUAUUUAUAUCUCUGUUAACAACUUGAAUUUUCUAUUUCUGAAUGUUUAGUCACGUCCCUUGCCUAGUUGGGGAGGACUUUACAGCACACUGAGUUUUGAAAGAAUAACUAGAAUUCUUCAGGUGGGCAAGAGGGGAAGUGCGAUUAAAGA